rnacentral:lncRNA from 1 species
UUGCUUUGUGUGCGAGGAUGUUGGCUACGUUGUCUGCUUUGACCGGCCUUCCAAAAGUUUCGACAUAGCUACUCUAUCUAGGUAUACUAAGAUACCUGCCAUUUCAGCACUCACAGGUAUGAAGACCUUUUGCGAAAGAGAUCAUUCCUGCUCCUGUGAUGUUUGCGUGUUACUCCUGUUAUUAUCCUCCAUCUCCACUUCCUA